rnacentral:rRNA from 1 species
AACGUAGGAGACAAACGUUAUCCGGAGUUACUGGGCGUAAAGGGCGUGUAGGCGGUUUGUUAAGUCUGGCGUGAAAGCUCUCGGCUAAACCGGGAGAGGUCGUUGGAUACUGGCAAACUAGAGGACGGUAGAGGCGUGUGGAAUUCCCGGUGUAGCGGUGAAAUGCGCAGAUAUCGGGAAGAACACCCGUGGCGAAGGCGGUUCUCUGGGACGGUACUGACGCUGAGACGCGAAAGCGUGGGGAGCGAACAGG